UAGACAGAUUAUUGUAUUCGAUUGUAUUCACAAUAUAUAUAUUUGUGAAUACAGUAACGUAAAUAGCGCAAUUCAUGGACUAUUCAGUUGUUUUUAAAAGGAAAGUGAGUCAAUUAACAUAAUAGACUCCU
rnacentral:pre_miRNA from 1 species